UUAUAAUGGCAUGUUUUUGUAAUAACAAAAACUUGAAAUUUUUAGAUAAUGCAUUUCAAUUGCUAGAAAAAAAAAAGAUUUUAAUGAUGACUAUUGACUAAAACAUACAAAUCAACAUUUUUGUUAUGCAGUACCAUACUAAGUGCUUAGGGCCUAUUGCAAAGGUAGUAUUAUGUAUGUAUUAAGGCGGGUGUCCACUGUCCCGGUUUUACCGGACACCCGGCAGUUGCCAUGGCAACCACGUGACGGGAUACCGGUUUUGCCGAUUGCCGGGCUGGUCUGUCGAAUUUAAAUUCUGCCGGCUGCCGGACUUGGCAAAAUCGCUUUCAGCCAAUCGGAUGAAACUUCAAUAACAUCAUCAUAACAUAUUUUUCUAAAACGGCAUACUGCAAUCUGAAUGAAAUUAGAAAAUAUCCAUGGAUGUAUGAUUCCAGCAGAGAAGACUAUAAAGAUUGGGACAAAAAAAAAAAAAACUCAUGGUUCGACAAUUUCAAGUACGAUGAAGAUGGACGGUAAGAUUAUAUAUUUUUUUCGGUCAAUGUCUUCGAUAGUGGUCUGUUGUUGUUGUUUAAAACCACGUGUUUGUCCAUUAAUCAAAAUUAUAUUUA
rnacentral:lncRNA from 1 species